rnacentral:rRNA from 1 species
CUUACACAUGCAGUCGAGCGGGGAGAGUAGCUUGCUACUUUACCUAGCGGCGGACGGGUGAGUAAUGCUUAGGAAUCUGCCUAUUAGUGGGGGACAACAUCUCGAAAGGGAUGCUAAUACCGCAUACGUCCUACGGGAGAAAGCAGGGGACCUUCGGGCCUUGCGCUAAUAGAUGAGCCUAAGUCGGAUUAGCUAGUUGGUGGGGUAAAGGCCUACCAAGGCGACGAUCUGUAGCGGGUCUGAGAGGAUGAUCCGCCACACUGGGACUGAGACACGGCCCAGACUCCUACGGGAGGCAGCAGUGGGGAAUAUUGGACAAUGGGGGGAACCCUGAUCCAGCCAUGCCGCGUGUGUGAAGAAGGCCUUUUGGUUGUAAAGCACUUUAAGCGAGGAGGAGGCUACCGAGAUUAAUACUCUUGGAUAGUGGACGUUACUCGCAGAAUAAGCACCGGCUAACUCUGUGCCAGCAGCCGCGGUAAUACAGAGGGUGCAAGCGUUAAUCGGAUUUACUGGGCGUAAAGCGCGCGUAGGUGGCCAAUUAAGUCAAAUGUGAAAUCCCCGAGCUUAACUUGGGAAUUGCAUUCGAUACUGGUUGGCUAGAGUAUGGGAGAGGAUGGUAGAAUUCCAGGUGUAGCGGUGAAAUGCGUAGAGAUCUGGAGGAA